rnacentral:rRNA from 1 species
CCUACGGGGGGCAGCAGUCGAGAAUCAUUCACAAUGGGGGAAACCCUGAUGGUGCGACGCCGCGUGGGGGAAUGAAGGUCUUCGGAUUGUAAACCCCUGUCAUGUGGGAGCAAAUUAAAAAGAUAGUACCACAAGAGGAAGAGACGGCUAACUCUGUGCCAGCAGCCGCGGUAAUACAGAGGUCGCAAGCGUUGUUCGGAAUAACUGGUCGUAAAGGGUGCGUAGGCUGUUUCGUAAGUCGUGUGUGAAAGGCGCGGGCUCAACCCGCGGACGGCACAUGAUACUGCGAGACUAGAGUAAUGGAGGGGGAACCGGAAUUCUCGGUGUAGCAGUGAAAUGCGUAGAUAUCGAGAGGAACACUCGUGGCGAAGGCGGGUUCCUGGACAUUAACUGACGCUGAGGCACGAAGGCCAGGGGAGCGAAAGGGAUUAGAUACCCGAGUAGUC